GUAGUUACUACUUGGUAGUUUAANUUUCUAGGUAGAAUUAUGAUGAUGACAUNAUCUAUCUAUUAGUCUUGACCAAAUNACGUGCCAGCAGUCGCGGUAAUACGUAGAAGACAAGUGUUAUUCAUCUUUAUUAGGUUUAAAGAGUACCAAGACGGUUAAUAAAGCCCAAAAUAAAUGAAUACGGGGGACACAUUAACUAGAGUUAUAUGAAAGGAAGCUCUAAGGUACUGUUGAGUGUAGAGAUGAAAUUUAAUUAUACCAGAUGAUUGGCACAGAUUUAUGCGAAGGCAUCUUCUUAUGUAAUAACUGACGUUGUAGGACGAAGGCUUGGGAAGUGAACAGGAUUAGGUACCCCAGUAAUCUAGGCAGAAAAUGAUGAAUGUCAUAGGUUCAAUACAGACAGGUUAAAUUGACUAUCUANUAGUAAAUAGGUGCUAUAUUAAUCAGUCUAUUGUGUCUAUAAAUGAAAGUGUAAGCAUUCCACCUCAAGAGUAAUUUGGCAACAUUGGAACUGAAAUCAUUAGACCGUUUCUGAAACCAGUAGUGAAGUAUGUUGUUUAAUUAGAUGAUACACAAAAACCUUACCACAAUUUGAAUAUAUAUAAAAUAUAUUUACAUGCGCUGCACGGCUGUCUACAGUUAAUGUCGUGAGACUUUGGUUAGCUCC
rnacentral:rRNA from 1 species